CUAAAUACUCCUGACUGACCGAUAGUGAACCAGUACCGUGAGGGAAAGGAGAAAAGAACCCCGGCGAGGGGAGUGAAAAAGAACCUGAAACCGUGUACGUACAAGCAGUGGGAGCACGCUUCGGCGUGUGACUGCGUACCUUUUGUAUAAUGGGUCAGCGACUUAUAUUCUGUAGCAAGGUUAACCGAAUAGGGGAGCCGAAGGGAAACCGAGUCUUAACUGGGCGUUAAGUUGCAGGGUAUAGACCCGAAACCCGGUGAUCUAGCCAUGGGCAGGUUGAAGGUUGGGUAACACUAACUGGAGGACCGAACCGACUAAUGUUGAAAAAUUAGCGGAUGACUUGUGGCUGGGGGUGAAAGGCCAAUCAAACCGGGAGAUAGCUGGUUCUCCCCGAAAGCUAUUUAGGUAGCGCCUCGUGAAUUCAUCUCCGGGGGUAGAGCACUGUUUCGGCAAGGGGGUCAUCCCGACUUACCAACCCGAUGCAAACUGCGAAUACCGGAGAAUGUUAUCACGGGAGACACACGGCGGGUGCUAACGUCCGUCGUGAAGAGGGAAACAACCCAGACCGCCAGCUAAGGUCCCAAAGUCAUGGUUAAGUGGGAAACGAUGUGGGAAGGCCCAGACAGCCAGGAUGUUGGCUUAGAAGCAGCCAUCAUUUAAAGAAAGCGUAAUAGCUCACUGGUCGAGUCGGCCUGCGCGGAAGAUGUAACGGGGCUAAACCAUGCACCGAAGCUGCGGCAGCGACGCU
rnacentral:rRNA from 1 species